GGGGAAUAUUGCACAAUGGGCGAAAGCCUGAUGCAGCAACGCCGCGUGAGUGAUGACGGUCUUCGGAUUGUAAAGCUCUGUCUUUUGGGACGAUAAUGACGGUACCAAAGGAGGAAGCCACGGCUAACUACGUGCCAGCAGCCGCGGUAAUACGUAGGUGGCAAGCGUUGUCCGGAUCUACUGGGCGUAAAGGAUGUGUAGGCGGAUACUUAAGUGAGAUGUGAAAGCCCCGGGCUCAACCUGGGGACUGCAUUUCAAACUGGAUAUCUAGAGUGCAGGAGAGGAAAGUAGAAUUCCUAGUGUAGCGGUGAAAUGCGUAGAGAUUAGGAAGAACAGCAGUGGCGAAGGCGGCUUUCUGGACUGUAACUGACGCUGAGGCAUGAAAGCGUGGGGAGCAAAC
rnacentral:rRNA from 1 species